UUUUUUUUUUUUAAGAUUUUAUUUAUUUCUUCGUGAGAGACACAGAGAGAGGCAGAGACAUAGGCAGAGGGAGAAGCAGGAUCCUGGGAUCACAACCCGAGCUGAAGGCAAACUCUCAACCAAUGAGCCCCCUAGGCAUCCCUGCUUCUUUUUGCAAUCGUUAGUUUCUAUGAUUUUCUGAAAAACUAAAAGAAACCAAACAAAACAAAACAAAAAAAAUUUCCCACAGUGAUAAGCUAAAAUUAAAGGAUACGAAUUAUCUCUAACAAUUUCAAGAAGAAUGAGGACCCAAAGAUUAUUCUAUCCACAGGGUCAUCUAGUCAGUCCCAGGUGUGUGACACAUAACCUGAAAUAGUCCAUUAGAUAUGGAAAAUGGCCCCUUUCCAUUUUCUUUUACAUCAGUAAGACAUACUACCUUAAGUUCUCCAAAUUAACAUAAUAUUCUAUACUACAUAUCUUAGAGUAUAUUUAAUGCUACAGAAGCAGUAUAUUUUCACAAAUAUUCUUGGCAUAUCUAUGUGCUAACUGGGUUGAUAUCACAAAAGCCCAAAUAACACAAUAAAAAAUUCAACUAAAACACUAACACAAAUUAAAACAUGUUACUGAUGGGGACAACUGGGUGGCUCAGCGGUUGAGCAUCUGCCUUCGGCUCAGGGUGUGAUCCCGGGGUCCUGAUCGGGCUCCCCGCAGGGAGCUUGAGUCUCCGUCUGCCUCUGUUUCUGCCUCUCUCUGGGUCUCUUAUGAAUAAAUAAAAUCUAAAAAACCCAAAACAAACAGACAAAAACAUGCCACCAAUGUAAACUACUAAGUUGAGAUAUAAUUUAAAUAAUACAGGGAAACCAAAGCAUUUCACAAAUAGGUAUAAUUCAGUAAACAAAAUAUUAAAGUGGCCUAAUAGUGGUAUUGCCAACAAAAUUGUAAAAAUAAUAUAGCCAUCUAAAAUUUCAAUUUACAUUGCAAAUUUUUACAUUUUUUAUUGCUUUUGUGCCCCCAAUUAUUUUUUCACAUAUCAUGAGUCCCUAUAUCUAAGAUGCACACUUUUUGUAUUUAAAUAGAUGCCUUCAUUUAAUAUAGUAUUCUUCUAUCUUUUCUCCUCUGGUAAAUUACUAAUUAAACAGCAACUUAGGACAGGAAGAUACAGUGUGUGUUUUCUUUUUUUUUAAGGCAAACAUCAGUUUACCAUGACCUUGUACAUCAACACAUCUUUAAAGAAGAAUGUUCCCUAUUGGGAUGGCCAAAAUCUGGAAUGCUGGUGAGGAUGCAGAGCAACAGGAAUUCUCAUUCAUUGUUGGAAGGAAUGAAAAGUGGCAUCGGCACGUUGGAAGACACUUUGGCGGUUCCUUACAAAAUUAAACAUAUUCUUACCAUAUGAUCCAAUCAUCACACUCCUGGAAUUUUGUCAAUGGAGUUGAAAACUUGUGUCCACACGAAAUCUGCACAAAAAAUAUUCAUACCAACUUUUCAUAACUGCUAAAACUUGGAAGCAACUACGACAUCCCUCGGUAGGUGAAUGUAAAAAUAAGUUGUGUUACAUCAUAUCAUGGAAUAUAUUAUUUGGCAGUAAAAGAAAUAAGCCAUCAAGUUGUGAAACUACAUUCAAGAACUUUAAAGGAUGUUAAUAAAUGAAAGAAGCCAUCUGAAAAAGCUGUGUACUCUAUGAUUGCAAUUAUAUGAUACUGUGGAACGGUUAAAACUAUGGAGACAGUAAAAAGGUCAGUGGUUGCCAGAGGUUUGGGGAGGGAGGGGUGAACAUACGGAGCACAGAGGAUUUUUAGGGCAGUGGAAAUAUUCUGGAUGGUACCAUCGUGAAGGAACAUGCCACGAUCCAUUUUUCCAAACCCAAAGAAUGUACAACACCAAGAGCGAACCAUAACGUAAACUAUAGACUCUAGGUGAUCAUGAUGUGUCAGUGCUGGUGCAACAAACUGCUGCUCCAGUGGGGGAUGUUGAUAGUGGGGGAGGCUUUGCAUGUGGGGGGGGGCAGUAGUUAAUGGGAAAUCUCCAUACUUUCCCCUCAAUCUUGCUGUGAAACUAAAACAUAAGUUUUUAAUUAAAAAUCAUCAUGCCCCCCCAUGGCUAUCCUAGAAGCAUCUUGACUAAGGUUGUGUUUCUUAGUAAUAUUUAAGCAGAAUAUGAGACCUGCUCCUGCUUCUCCCCAGAGCUUUCUAAGAUCCUAAGUAGGCAUAUGGUAAAGGCAGCAUGGACCUCUCAUUCCCAGAGGUAAAAUGCCAUGCAGCACCAGAUAGUUGCCAUGUGGAAGUACUCAGAAGUGUUCGAAAGCCAUUGCACAAGUGUUGUGUUCCAUGGACAUCUUAAAUUUUCCAUAGAGGGUUGUUUACGUAUAAAAAAUAAACAUUUUCUCUUGGCCUAUCAAGAGUACAGGGAUUCAACAUCCUUUUGUUUCACAUACUACAGUCGGUGCUUCCAUCUCUGAGCCCAUACUAGACUAAACGUGGUGGAGUCAACAACUGUCUGAGUUCCCUUUCCUUUUUCAAGGACCCCAGGGUCUGGUACAGAGGAUGUCAGUAUUCAAGAAAACACAAGUGGAAGCUGUCAUGGAAAAUAGACACAGGCAGAUGUGUAGACCGAGGCACAUACCCAAAGAUGCUGCAGAAAGAAGUCAUGACUGCUGGGCCCCAAGAUUUUCUUUCUCUUUCUGUGCUA
rnacentral:lncRNA from 1 species